CGUAGGUGGCAAGCGUUGUCCGGAUUUAUUGGGUUUAAAGGGUGCGUAGGCGGCCCCGUAAGUCAGUGGUGAAAUAUCUCAGCUUAACUGAGAGGGUGCCAUUGAUACUGCGGGGCUUGAGUACAGAUGAGGUAGGCGGAAUUGACGGUGUAGCGGUGAAAUGCAUAGAUAUCGUCAAGAACUCCGAUAGCGAAGGCAGCUUACUAAGCUGUAACUGACGCUGAGGCACGAAAGUGUGGGGAUCAAACAGGAUUAGAUACCCUGGUAGUCCACACUGUAAACGUUGAUGACUCGAUGUUGGCGAUACACAGCCAGCGUCCAAGAGCAAUCGUUAAGUCAUCCACCUGGGGAGUACGCCGGCAACGGUG
rnacentral:rRNA from 1 species